rnacentral:rRNA from 1 species
UCGAGGAUCUUCGUCAAUGGGCGAAAGCCUGAACGAGCGAUGCCGCGUGCGCGAUGAAGGCCUUCGGGUUGUAAAGCGCUGUCGAGGGGGAGAAAAGCCGAAAGGUUUGAUCUAUCCCUGGAGGAAGCUCGGGCUAAGUUCGUGCCAGCAGCCGCGGUAAGACGAACCGAGCGAACGUUGUUCGGAAUCACUGGGCUUAAAGGGCGCGUAGGCGGGCUGUCAAGUCUGGGGUGAAAUCCCACGGCUCAACCGUGGAACUGCCUCAGAUACUGACGGCCUCGAGGGAGGCAGGGGCGAGCGGAACGGGUGGUGGAGCGGUGAAAUGCGUUGAUAUCACUCGGAACUCCGGUGGCGAAAGCGGCUCGCUGGGCCGUUCCUGACGCUGAGACGCGAAAGCUAGGGGAGCGAACAG